GAUGUCCUACGGGGGGCAGCAGUGGGGAGUAUUGCGCAAUGGACGAAAGUCUGACGCAGCGACGCCGCGUGAGGGAUGAAGGUUUUCGGAUCGUAAACCUCUGUCAGGGGGGAAGAAAGCGCAUGGCGCCAAUCAGCCAUGCGUCGACGGUACCUCCAAAGGAAGCACCGGCUAACUCUGUGCCAGCAGCCGCGGUAAUACGGAGGGCGCGAGCGUUAAUCGGAAUUACUGGGCGUAAAGCGCGCGUAGGCUGUUGUGUAAGUUGGGGGUGAAAUCCCACGGCUCAACCGUGGAACAGCCCUUGA
rnacentral:rRNA from 1 species